GUGGCGUAGGUUCUAGAAAAGAAAAGAGAUAGAGGAUCUUUUUUUCUUCCUCUCCCUCCUCUUGUUCUUCAUCAUCUCUGAGAAGGUUUGAGAGAAAACAACAGAGAAGUUCUUCAUCAACUAUUAGGAGAUAUUUUUUGCAAGAGAGCUAGCAUCUUGAUGAAGUCAAGAGCCUCUGAUUGGAUCAAAGAUUUUGUGUGCAUAUCUGUAGAGACCGGACGCAUGUGUGGCUGAUCAAGGAACCUCAAAGUAUACCAUGAUCAUCGAAUUGCGAUAUUUUUCCACCC
rnacentral:lncRNA from 1 species